rnacentral:lncRNA from 1 species
UCUGAAUAUCUUUCCCAAGAUGCCUAGCGUCCACACCGGAAUUGUCUCUCUCUUCUGGGACCCCCUUAACAUCCCACAUUUUCCUUUUGCACCGCAUUUGUCUCAUGGCGUUAAAUGCUCUCAGUUUGAGGUAGAGUGUAAGACCCUGGAGGACAGGGGCCUGACUUCGCAUAGUGCCUGACUCAUAAUUGUUCUCAAUAAAUGUUGAGUCAGAUAAUGGCAUUUUAUGUCUUACUCACAGCACUCUCUUGCUAUCCCAUGCUUACUUGUGAAAGGGGACCUUCUAUUUUAUUUUCUGGGUUAAUCCCAAUUUUAUUACCUGCUUUGAGUAAAAUAAACAUGACCUAUAAAAGUCAUCCACUCUUGUUUAAACAAUGCUUAUGGAAUGAUGCCACUGUCAUGUUUCUUUUCACAAGUAAAAAUGAGGAAAUGUAUUCUCCAGAGAUGUACUUCAAGAAUGAACCACUGCUAAACACACACACUAUAUAUUAUGUGUGUGUGUGUGUAUACUUAUACAUACAUAUAUAAAACUUCUGUCAUUUCUUUCUAUACGAAUUACUUUGUUGUCAAUUGGCCUUUAUUUCAUUUAUUUAUAUGGGGUGCUGAGAAUCGAACCCAGUGCCUCUCACAUGCUAGGCAAGUGCUCUACCGCUGAGCCAAACCCCAGCCCCUAUGAAUUACUUUGUAUCAGGCUCUUCCUACCACUUAGAUUCAAUAUGACUUCCUUACAUUAGGAAGUUUCAGGAGAUAUUGAAACUACUUGUUACAACUGACAACUGUCUUGUAUUUUUCACAUUCUCAGAUUUUCAAUGUAGUGUGCAUUUUUACAAGUAAUCACUGAAGACUUUUGCAUAUCUCUUCUGUGGAAGGUAGUGCGUUCCUUUACAUCUGUGAAUUGAAUAGACCUGACUAUAGUCAUUCCCACAUGCUUUGUGUUAAUAUAAGUUCUCUCCCCUUGGCAUUCUCAGGAGUACUGAAAAAGUCUUGCGAUAGUGAAGCAUCCCACAUUCUUUAUUCAGGGUUCCUCUCCAGUGUGAAUUCUUUUGAGCAUGUGAAAGGACUGGAUUGAGUGAAGACUUUCCCUCAUUACUUACAUAUUCUCCAGUGUGAAUUCAUGCAUGCCUUUGAUAGUAAGUGGAACAUACAUAUAUUGCUUACAUAUAAAGGCUUCUCUCCUAUGUGAAUUAAAAAGUGAGCUUUAAGUUAGCACUAUAUUGUUUGCGUGGGUUUUGACAGGGUGUACUUUGCUUUUAGAGAUGAGGAAAAUUGAAGCCCAGGGAAGUUAUAACUUCCAGCCCUCUGCUUGUCCCAUUCCAUCAUAUUGUCACAUCGUUACUUUUCUCACAGUUUAGAUUUCUGUGCCUGCCGUAAGCUAUUUCUCUGCCUCUGUAGAUUUGAUCUUUUGAAUCUUAU